rnacentral:sRNA from 1 species
GUGUAGUGCGUGAAGGAUAGCAGCGAAAAUCCUUUUUGGUGGCUUUUGGGGCCUCCAAAAAGAUUGUAGCGAAUAGCCUGACCCGCU